CAGCAAAUCGUCUCCU
rnacentral:sRNA from 1 species